rnacentral:lncRNA from 1 species
GUUCCGGAGAUACUAUCGCACGGCGAGGCAUGGACGCUUUCAUGGGUGGUUACGCGACAGUUGCCAGGACCGAGGGCGAAACCGGCUGCAAGGCAUUGUGGGACAUUGGAGGACUUGGAAUAUGCGCUAGAAGGCUCAAUCCAAGCCCAUUGGAAGAGGAAGACGUACGCAGCGGAGACAGCUGAUCCGGAGUCGGGGCGGCCUGCCAGGUGCCCAACCUCUCCCAGAGCAUGGCGUCUUGGGCACGCCCCUGCCGGCGGACAGUGCGUCCUCUAGGGCCGGGAGCUGCGGGCCGAGUUCGCGUGGGCCCUGCGCUUUCAUCCCUGCCGGGGACGCCGGGGUUGCGGGAUAAACCGCUCGACACACCCUGCCUCCCUGACUGCGCCUGUGUGACACAUACGUUCACUGGUGGGGCACGCAUCAGAUACGGAUGGCAGUGGUUUUGAAGUGGGAGGCCCUGUAUAAAUGUAAACGGUUAUUACUGUAAAUGCUCUAACAGAGCUGCCUGGGGGGCGCUUCCAGGGAAGCGUGGCAAUCUCAGGCCGGGAGAGGAGAGGCGUCCUGGGCCAGGGCGCUGCAGGAAUACAGGUCUGGCGAUGUGCAAGUACACAGAUUCACCAGGCAACAGCAUUGCGGCAAGGGUGGGAUGGGGAAGCCAGACCUAAGGCCAGAAAAGGAGAUUGCGACCAGAGCAUGCCUGCUGUGACUGUCAGAGGAUAACAGAUGAAGUGCCUGGGGUUCCUGCUACUCCUGGUUCCCAUGGAGGUGGAGAAGAGGCAGGAGGCCACCUUGGAUCUGGAAGAUACUUCUGGGGCUUGUGGGCAUCUCAGUUUGGCAAAGGGGGCUGACUGAGCCCAACCCCUUCAGAGGAGAGGAGGACUAAAGUGAGUGUAAAGAAGACAGUCUGGACUCUGGGGCAGCACAAGGGUCACAGGGAGCCCCAGCUCUGAAGGCUGUCCUGGCUGCAGGCUCUCUGAGCUGCCCCUGGGGAGCUGAGGGUCCAGGAAGUUUGCUGCUUAGGCCCAGAGAGGAGCUGGCCUGGCACUGGAAAGAGGAGA